rnacentral:misc_RNA from 1 species
GAUGAAGAACGCAGCGAAAUGCGAUACUUGGUGUGAAUUGCAGAAUCCCGUGAACCAUCGAGUCUUUGAACGCAAGUUGCGCCCGAAGCCACUAGGCCGAGGGCACGCCUGCCUGGGCGUCACACGUCGUUGCCCCCCCCCCAUCUACUCCUUCGGGAUUGCGGGGGGCGGAUGAUGGCCUCCCGUGCGCCUAGCCGCGCGGUUGGCAUAAAUACCAAGUCCUCGGCGACGCACGCCACGACAAUCGGUGGUUGCGAAACCUCGGUUGCCCGUCGUGUGCGUUCGUCGCGCAUCGAUGGCUCGAAAAAAUGCUCGGCUCCGGCUCGGCUUUCAACGCGACCCCAGGUCAGGCGGGGUUACCCGCUGAAUUUAAGCAUAUCAAUAAGCGGAGGA